AUGAUCUAAUUAAUGGAAUAUGUAAGGCUUGAAUGUGGGAGGUCUGGCUUUGGUUUUACAACUAGCUCAGUUUUGUGCUCAGUGACCGUGGACAUAGUGCAAAAUGUGAUUUUCUAACAAGGACACAGCUGUUGCCCUGUAUUCCCCAGAGAAGAGAAACAAAAUCGAUGCUCUGUUUCAGACGGCUGCAGAGCCACCACAGGAAGCAUUCACAGUUGGAAAGGACUAAUAUCUUGCCAUGCUAAGUGCCACAGUAAAUUCUGCAGGCAGAAUGAGAAUUGUGCCAUUUGAUCCAAUGGGAAUGACAAGAAGCAGGUUGCUGAGCUUUCUGGCUCAGGCUCCCUUCCACAACUAGGGGAAAAAACGGGAAACAUGCUUUUACACGAGGAACAUAAACCAAGCUAUGUUGUGGGGAUGCUAUCGAGAGUCCCAAAGCUGCUUCCUAAGAACAGUUACCUAUAAAUAGCCUGAAAAACUUCAGCCCUGCUGUCUGGAUUUAAUUUAAUUGUUAUGCUGGAAUUGCUAUGAAGCACAAGCAAGGUAUUGAGCUUUUACCCUCCCUCAGCAGUAGUAUAAUCUUUAAAAAUGUCUUUCUGUUUUUCCAGUGGCUGUAGCUUCCGAUCAUGCUGUGUCACUGAGUAUAGUGAGGACUUUUUUUGUGGGGUGGGGGGAGAAUUCAACCCUCUGGGCUCUGAGUGAAAUUGGUGUGGGUUGUCUCCUACCUUCCAGUCUUAAAAACACUUGACACUUUGACAUUCUCACUGCUAAGGGGAUCUGACAGAGGCUCAUCAACAAUAGGACAUUGUUAUCUGCCCUGGCAGAAAUCAUAGCAACAGCCUGAUGUGAAGUGAUGACUUGCAUUUACUUCCAGGAGGGUGAAUGCAAUUCCAUGUCAGUUGUUCCCAGUGUAUGACUAGGGGAAAGUGAGGAAGUUACUUAAAGGACUUGUGUUCUUCCCAGUUCCAUCUCCGUCAUCUUGGAAAGAGAUUGCAAAUUGUUCUCAAGCUUUUCUUUUUCAAAUGCAAGCGCAGAAGUAAACGUCUCAUUAUUAUACUGUAUUUUGAUAUGGCUGGCGGGGGGGGGGGCUCUAAUAUACUCCCGUGAUU